rnacentral:rRNA from 1 species
GAUGAACGCUGGCGGCGUGCCUAAUACAUGCAAGUCGAGCGGACGGACGAGAAGCUUGCUUCUCUGAUGUUAGCGGCGGACGGGUGAGUAACACGUGGAUAACCUACCUAUAAGACUGGGAUAACUUCGGGAAACCGGAGCUAAUACCGGAUAAUAUUUUGAACCGCAUGGUUCAAAAGUGAAAGACGGUCUUGCUGUCACUUAUAGAUGGAUCCGCGCUGCAUUAGCUAGUUGGUAAGGUAACGGCUUACCAAGGCAACGAUGCAUAGCCGACCUGAGAGGGUGAUCGGCCACACUGGAACUGAAACACGGUCCAGACUCCUACGGGAGGCAGCAGUAGGGAAUCUUCCGCAAUGGGCGAAAGCCUGACGGAGCAACGCCGCGUGAGUGAUGAAGGUCUUCGGAUCGUAAAACUCUGUUAUUAGGGAAGAACAUAUGUGUAAGUAACUGUGCACAUCUUGACGGUACCUAAUCAGAAAGCCACGGCUAACUACGUG